GUCGGGAUAGCUCAGU
rnacentral:tRNA from 96 species